rnacentral:rRNA from 1 species
UACGAAGGGGGCUAGCGUUGCUCGGAAUCACUGGGCUUAAAGGGCGCGUAGGCGGGUACUCAAGUCUGUGGUGAAAUCCUCCGGCUCAACCGGAGAACUGCCAUGGAUACUGGGUGUCUCGAGGGUGGUAGGGGUAUGCGGAAUUCCGGGUGUAGUGGUGGAAUGCGUAGAGAUCCGGAGGAACACCAGCGGCGAAGGCGGCAUCCUGGACUGGUACUGACGCUCAUGAGCGAAAGCGUGGGGAGCGAUCCGG